rnacentral:rRNA from 1 species
UAUACGGUGAAACUGCGAAUGGCUCAUUAAAUCAGUUAUCGUUUAUUUGAUAGUACCUUACUACAUGGAUAACCGUGGUAAUUCUAGAGCUAAUACAUGCUAAAAACCCCGACUUCGGAAGGGGUGUAUUUAUUAGAUAAAAAACCAAUGCCCUUCGGGGCUCUCUGGUGAUUCAUAAUAACUUAACGAAUCGCAUGGCCUUGCGCCGGCGAUGGUUCAUUCAAAUUUCUGCCCUAUCAACUUUCGAUUGUAGGAUAGAGGCCUACAAUGGUAUCAACGGGUAACGGGGAAUUAGGGUUCGAUUCCGGAGAGGGAGCCUGAGAAACGGCUACCACAUCCAAGGAAGGCAGCAGGCGCGCAAAUUACCCAAUCCCGACACGGGGAGGUAGUGACAAUAAAUACUGAUACAGGGCUCUUUUGGGUCUUGUAAUUGGAAUGAGUACAAUCUAAAUCCCUUAACGAGGAACAAUUGGAGGGCAAGUCUGGUGCCAGCAGCCGCGGUAAUUCCAGCUCCAAUAGCGUAUAUUAAAGUUGUUGCAGUUAAAAAGCUCGUAGUUGAACCUUGGGCCUGGCUGGCCGGUCCGCCUCACCGCGUGCACUGGUUCGGCCGGGCCUUUCCUUCUGGGGAACCGCAUGCCCUUCACUGGGCGUGUUGGGGAACCAGGACUUUUACUUUGAAAAAAUUAGAGUGUUCAAAGCAGGCCUUCGCUCGAAUACAUUAGCAUGGAAUAAUAGAAUAGGACGUGCGGUUCUAUUUUGUUGGUUUCUAGGACCGCCGUAAUGAUUAAUAGGGAUAGUCGGGGCCAUCCGUAUUCAAUUGUCAGAGGUGAAAUUCUUGGAUUUAUUGAAGACGAACUACUGCGAAAGCAUUUGGCAAGGAUGUUUUCAUUAAUCAGUGAACGAAAGUUAGGGGAUCGAAGACGAUCAGAUACCGUCGUAGUCUUAACCAUAAACUAUGCCAACUAGGGAUCGGACGGUGUUAUUAUUUUGACCCGUUCGGCACCUUACGAGAAAUCAAAGUCUUUGGGUUCUGGG